AUUCUUACCUAGCAGGAGCGACACCACGAUCAUUUAAGUGGUUUACCCAGGUUGAGGCUCAGUCACUGCACUUCGGCUGUCUGACGCUUGCGAAUUUCUCAAAUGUGGAAAUCUCGACUGCAUAAUUUCUGAUAGUGGGGGACUGCAUUCGCGCUCUCCCCUG